UACGUAGGGUGCGAGCGUUGUCCGGAAUUAUUGGGCGUAAAGAGCUCGUAGGCGGUGUGUCACGUCGAUCGUGAAAACUUUCAGCUUAACUGGGAGCUUGCGGUCGAUACGGGCAUCACUGGAGUUCGGCAGGGGAGACUGGAAUUCAAGGUGUAGCGGUGAAAUGCGCAGAUAUCAGGAGGAACACCAAUGGCGAAGGCAGCUCGCUGGAACGGUACUGACGCUGAGGCGCGAAAGCGUGGGGAGCGAACAGG
rnacentral:rRNA from 1 species